UNGCUUCAUGUCCACCGAGUUUGUAGUGC
rnacentral:piRNA from 1 species